GGGGCCGCCUGGGACUUGGGGACGGGGUCAGUCAUAUAAAGGCUGUGCCCAGCGCUUUUGGAAGCAGUAAGUCCAGCCCUAGGCUAAGGAGGUGUUAAUCACUGAAGGGAGGUAGAAUGUUUUUCCCCACCAGAGGAGGCAGCGACCACGUCUCCUCUAUGGAGGCAUUCAAGAGCCGUCCAGCUGAAGCAGCAUCACUGUCUGAGCUUGGAAGGCACAAUCCACAUAGGUCUGCAUGGUCCACCGAGCUACAUACCCACGGGGCCAGCGGGAGGUGGGCAGCUGCUGGGCUCUCUUCUGAAGCAGACAGGAUCUCACUCUGUUGCCGAGGCUGGAUCACAGCUCCCUGCAACCUUGAACUCUCCCUCAAGCAAUCCUCCCCACUCUGCCUUCCAAAGCACUAGCAUUGUAGGCCUAAGCCACCACUCCCAUCCACUGUAGUGUAAACUGUCUCCUUCAAUGUUUCCAAUAGUUGCGGAGCAGAUCAGAUAAGGGUUCUUCCUGUCUGUUGCUUCAAGUUUCAUUCUCUCUUUAAAUGAUAUAAGGUUGGCUUCCAUGGUUCCUUCUUAAAGAAUGUUGAAGGUGUGUCUUCAGAUUCAUUUAGUGUUCAUGGAACCCCAGGGAAAGCUGAUGUAAAAACCUCUUUUUUCUCCCAUAUGUCUCAAAAAGUUGUAUUUUCUGGGUCCAAGGGAUCUGCAAGCCUCCUAAAGGCAUUUCCAUUGUCACUACCAUCAGGUGUGAACUGUAAUCUGGCACGUGUAGUUCCAAGAACUGUCAUAAUAGAUGCUGAAGAAACAUUGUGAAGUUAACUCGCUGUUACCAACUGUGAAGUCAUUAGCUAGAGGAAUCUUGGGCGGUCUGAAAUCUGAGAUACUGUGGAAAGAACAGAAAGAUCCUGUAUCUUUCCUAUAAUUGUUCUACUGGAAGUUGUCAUUUUACACAGGAGACAUUCUGUUUUAUUUAUUUUCUUUUGAGCCAGGGUCUCACUCUGUCGCCCAGGCUGGAGUGCGGUGUUGUUACCACAGGUCACUGGUGCCUCCACUGCCUGAGGACUGCUCAAGCAAUCCUCCUACCUCAGUCCCCUGAGGAGCCGGGGCCACAGGCCUGCACCACCACGCCUGGCUAAUUAUUUUUAUUUGUAGAGACGAAGUCUAUCUUGCCUAGGCUGAUCUCGAACUGCUGGGCUCAAGUAAUCCUCCUGCCGUGGCUUCUCAAAGUGCUUGGGAUUACACAUGGUCUUGCUCUGUCACCCAGUCUGGAAUGCAGUGGUGCCAUCAUAGCUCACUACAGCCUGAGCUGUACUGAGCUUGAGGGAUCUUCCCGUCUCAGCCUCCUAAGUAGCUGGGACUACAGGUAAUGGAAGUGGGCAGAGAAUGAUCCUUUCCCUAGGCUCCAGUGUGUAAGAAUUAAAGAAAGAGGAAAGAAAUACAAUGGCUUGAUGGUCAAGGACAGGUUUAUUUUAAAGAAAACAAACCCGAGAGUGGCUUCUGGCUGAGUUAGAUCAGAGAAGAGAAGUGAUUUUCUUGAAAUGCAUGAGGCUGGAAAGGGAGCUGGCACUUAAAGUGGCGGUGUUUGUCCGAGAGGAUGGUGCUCCUGCUCUGUCACAGUGGGCAUGGGGAUUCAGGCCACUGCCACCGAAUUUCAAGAGCCCAAGCACAGAGCCCAGAACUAAAUUGUGAGGGUUUAAAAAAAAAAAAAAAAAAGCUUUAUUGAAGUAUAAUUGACAUACAAUAAACUUGAAUAUUUAAAGUGUA
rnacentral:lncRNA from 1 species